UAAGCCUGUGAAGGUGGCCUGUGAGGGUUGCUGGAGGUAUCAGAAGUGCGAAUGCUGACAUAAGUAACGAUAAAGCGGGUGAAAAGCCCGCUCGCCGGAAGACCAAGGGUUCCUGUCCAACGUUAAUCGGGGCAGGGUGAGUCGACCCCUAAGGCGAGGCCGAAAGGCGUAGUCGAUGGGAAACGGGUUAAUAUUCCCGUACUUGGUGUUACUGCGAAGGGGGGACGGAGAAGGCUAUGUUGGCCGGGCGACGGUUGUCCCGGUUUAAGCGUGUAGGUGUGUGUUCCAGGUAAAUCCGGUUCACUUUAACACUGAGGCGUGACGACGAGGCACUACGGUGCUGAAGCAACAAAUGCCCUGCUUCCAGGAAAAGCCUCUAAGCAUCAGGUAACAUCAAAUCGUACCCCAAACCGACACAGGUGGUCAGGUAGAGAAUACCAAGGCGCUUGAGAGAACUCGGGUGAAGGAACUAGGCAAAAUGGUGCCGUAACUUCGGGAGAAGGCACGCUGACAC
rnacentral:rRNA from 4 species